GCAUGGACGAAUUCUGUUUUACUCUUUAAAUAGUAAAUGCAGUCAGACACCAUGCAAAAGUAUUGUUUCACACACUGACUUAGCAGGAUAAGAAUGCUAACUAUGGUUCUUAUUCUAAUGUCAUAGUGAAUACAGAA